rnacentral:rRNA from 1 species
GAUGAACGCUGGCGGCGUGCCUAAUACAUGCAAGUCGAGCGUACAGAUGAGGAGCUUGCUCCUCUGACGUUAGCGGCGGACGGGUGAGUAACACGUGGAUAACCUACCUAUAAGACUGGGAUAACUUCGGGAAACCGGAUCUAAUACCGGAUAAUAUAUUGAACCGCAUGGUUCAAAAGUGAAAGACCGUUUUUCUGUCACUUAUAGAUGUAUCCGCGCUGCAUUAGCUAGUUGGUAAGGUAACGGCUUACCAAGGCAACGAUGCGUAGCCGACCUGAGAGGGUGAUCGGCCACACUGGAACUGAGACACGGUCCAGACUCCUACGGGAGGCAGCAGUAGGGAAUCUUCCGCAAUGGGCGAAAGCCUGACGGAGCAACGCCGCGUGAGUGAUGAAGGUCUUCGGAUCGUAAAACUCUGUUAUUAGGGAAGAACAAAUGUGUAAGUAACUAUGCACGUCUUGACGGUACCGAAUCAGAAAGCCACGGCUAACUACGUG